AGUCUUUCUUUAUUGAAUGGGGAAAACAAAAUCUUGGCGAAGCCAUCGUUAAGACAUUAAGGUUCGGCCAAGCAAAUUUAUUUACAUAUCAAGAGUCAGACCAGUUGGUUGAUAACUGCGGGAAAAGAAAAGUCAUCGAAUAGUCAGCUUUGAAGUGUUCAUAGCUAUUGUGACUAGAUUGUCGGACUCUUGCUUUCAAUUGGAACUUCGUUGGAGAUCACACAUCUGACAAUCAUUUGGUAGUUAAUUGUUUAUUUUGGCUUGGUUAUAAAUGACAUGUAAAUGGGGUCUUGGUUAUGUAUGUUAUAAGUAUUAUAAAUAUGAUUUUUUCCAUUUUAAUUA